AUAUAUAUGCUAUUCGUACCAAAGAAAGUAACGGAGAUUGAUCUCUUAAUAAUGUUGCCGAGGAAUGAUAUAUUUGAUUAUUCAAUAUAUGCUAACUUUGGUGUAUUCCAAAGUUUUUAUUUGGUUAA
rfam:Spiroplasma corruscae strain EC-1 chromosome, complete genome.